rnacentral:rRNA from 1 species
UACGUAGGGUGCGAGCGUUGUCCGGAAUUAUUGGGCGUAAAGAGCUUGUAGGCGGCUUGUCGCGUCUGCUGUGAAAUCUCAAGGCUCAACCUUGAGCCUGCAGUGGGUACGGGCAGACUAGAGUGUGGUAGGGGAGACUGGAAUUCCUGGUGUAGCGGUGAAAUGCGCAGAUAUCAGGAGGAACACCGGUGGCGAAGGCGGUUCUCUGGGCAUGUCCUGACGCUGAGGAGCGAAAGUGUGGGGAGCGAACAGG